AGAGUGAACGCUGGGCGGCGUGCCUAAUACAUGCAAGUCGAACGAUGAAGCUUCUAGCUUGCUAGAGUGCUGAUUAGUGGCGCACGGGUGAGUAACGCAUAGGUCAUGUGCCUCUUAGUUUGGGAUAGCCAUUGGAAACGAUGAUUAAUACCAGAUACUCCCUACGGGGGAAAGAUUUAUCGCUAAGAGAUCAGCCUAUGUCCUAUCAGCUUGUUGGUAAGGUAAUGGCUUACCAAGGCUAUGACGGGUAUCCGGCCUGAGAGGGUGAACGGACACACUGGAACUGAGACACGGUCCAGACUCCUACGGGAGGCAGCAGUAGGGAAUAUUGCUCAAUGGGGGAAACCCUGAAGCAGCAACGCCGCGUGGAGGAUGAAGGUUUUAGGAUUGUAAACUCCUUUUGUUAGAGAAGAUAAUGACGGUAUCUAACGAAUAAGCACCGGCUAACUCCGUGCCAGCAGCCGCGGUAAUACGGAGGGUGCAAGCGUUACUCGGAAUCACUGGGCGUAAAGAGCGCGUAGGCGGGAUAGUCAGUCAGGUGUGAAAUCCUAUGGCUUAACCAUAGAACUGCAUUUGAAACUACUAUUCUAGAGUGUGGGAGAGGUAGGUGGAAUUCUUGGUGUAGGGGUAAAAUCCGUAGAGAUCAAGAGGAAURCUCAUKGCGAAGGCGACCUGCUGGAACAUUACUGACGCUGAUUGCGCGAAAGCGUGGGGAGCAAACAGGAUUAGAUACCCUGGUAGUCCACGCCCUAAACGAUGGAUGCUAGUUGUUGGAGGGCUUAGUCUCUCCAGUAAUGCAGCUAACGCAUUAAGCAUCCCGCCUGGGGAGUACGGUCGCAAGAUUAAAACUCAAAGGAAUAGACGGGGACCCGCACAAGCGGUGGAGCAUGUGGUUUAAUUCGAAGAUACACGAAGAACCUUACCUAGGCUUGACAUUGAGAGAAUCCGCUAGAAAUAGUGGAGUGUCUGGCUUGCUAGACCUUGAAAACAGGUGCUGCACGGCUGUCGUCAGCUCGUGUCGUGAGAUGUUGGGUUAAGUCCCGCAACGAGCGCAACCCCCUUUCUUAGUUGCUAACAGGUCAUGCUGAGAACUCUAAGGAUACUGCCUCCGUAAGGAGGAGGAAGGUGGGGACGACGUCAAGUCAUCAUGGCCCUUACGCCUAGGGCUACACACGUGCUACAAUGGGGUGCACAAAGAGAAGCAAUACUGCGAAGUGGAGCCAAUCUUCAAAACACCUCUCAGUUCGGAUUGUAGGCUGCAACUCGCCUGCAUGAAGCUGGAAUCGCUAGUAAUCGCAAAUCAGCCAUGUUGCGGUGAAUACGUUCCCGGGUCUUGUACUCACCGCCCGUAACACCAUGGAASUUGUGUUUGCCUUAAGUCAG
rnacentral:rRNA from 1 species